GAUGAAGAACGUAGCGAAUUGCGAUAAGUAAUGUGAAUUGCAGAAUUCAGUGAAUCAUCGAAUCUUUGAACGCACAUUGCGCCCGCCAGUAUUCUGGCGGGCAUGCCUGUUCGAGCGUCAUUACAACCCUCAGGCCCCCGGGCCUGGCGUUGGGGAUCGGCGGAGCCCCCCGUGGGCACACGCCGUCCCCCAAAUACAGUGGCGGUCCCGCCGCAGCUUCCAUCGCGUAGUAGCUAACACCUCGCGACUGGAGAGCGGCGCGGCCACGCCGUAAAACACCCAACUCUUCUGAAGUUGACCUCGAAUCAGGUAGGAAUACCCGCUGAACUUAAGCAUAUCAAUAAGCGGAGGA
rnacentral:misc_RNA from 1 species